rnacentral:rRNA from 1 species
AUUGAACGCUGGCGGCAGGCUUAACACAUGCAAGUCGAGCGGAUGAAGAGAGCUUGCUCUCUGAUUCAGCGGCGGACGGGUGAGUAAUGCCUAGGAAUCUGCCUGGUAGUGGGGGACAACGUUUCGAAAGGAACGCUAAUACCGCAUACGUCCUGCGGGAGAAAGCAGGGGACCUUCGGGCCUUGCGCUAUCAGAUGAGCCUAGGUCGGAUUAGCUAGUUGGUGAGGUAAUGGCUCACCAAGGCGACGAUCCGUAACUGGUCUGAGGGGAUGAUCAGUCACACUGGAACUGAGACACGGUCCAGACUCCUACGGGAGGCAGCAGUGGGGAAUAUUGGACAAUGGGCGAAAGCCUGAUCCAGCCAUGCCGCGUGUGUGAAGAAGGUCUUCGGAUUGUAAAGCACUCUAAGUUGGGAGGAAGGGCAGUAAGUUAAUACCUUGCUGUUUUGGCGUUACCGACAGAAUAAGCACCGGCUAACUCUGUGCCAGCAGCCGCAGUAACAC